rnacentral:misc_RNA from 1 species
GGAAAAGCUUUAAUGCCUGAUGUCCAUGAGACAUGUUGUGUGAAAAUACAGAUGAAAACUAUCCCAAUGUAUUCUUCAUUUUUAUAAUGUCUGAGUUCCAUGAGACAUGUUGUGUGAAAAUACAGAUGAAAACUAUCCGAAUGUAUUCUUCAUUGAUUUAUAAAAGAAGUGCAAUACAUGUAUUGGUAUUUCUGAUUAAGUACUUAAUCAAUCAUGUAUUAACAUAGAAUGUAUCCAAGAUAAAAUCAAGAACUUCAAAUGAUGUAUUUGAAGAUUUAAUUUGAAUUUCUUUAUACAUAUUUAAAAUCCAUUCCUCCAUUAUGAAACAAGUAUUUAUAACUGUCAGUUGAUCAUGCAUAUAGGGUUAAUAUAUGUAUAUUCUUGUAAGUUGACAAAGCAUUGUAAACUAUUUUUAAUUUUAAAUAAAAUGAUAUGGAAUAUCAAGGAAAUG